AUGAACGCUGGCGGCGUGCCUAAUACAUGCAAGUCGAGCGAACAGACGAGGAGCUUGCUCCUCUGACGUUAGCGGCGGACGGGUGAGUAACACGUGGAUAACCUACCUAUAAGACUGGGAUAACUUCGGGAAACCGGAGCUAAUACCGGAUAAUAUAUUGAACCGCAUGGUUCAAUAGUGAAAGACGGUUUUGCUGUCACUUAUAGAUGGAUCCGCGCCGCAUUAGCUAGUUGGUAAGGUAACGGCUUACCAAGGCGUCGAUGCGUAGCCGACCUGAGAGGGUGAUCGGCCACACUGGAACUGAGACACGGUCCAGACUCCUACGGGAGGCAGCAGUAGGGAAUCUUCGGCAAUGGGCGAAAGCCUGACGGAGCAACGCCGCGUGAGUGAUGAAGGUCUUCGGAUCGUAAAACUCUGUUAUUAGGGAAGAACAAAUGUGUAAGUAACUAUGCACGUCUUGACGGUACCUAAUCAGAAAGCCACGGCUAACUACGUG
rnacentral:rRNA from 1 species